GCCAGGUGUGGUGGUGCACACCUGUAGUCCCAGCUACUUGGGAGGCUGAGGUGGGAGGAUUGCUUGAACCCAGGAGGUUGAGGCUGCUGUGAGCCAUGAUUGCACCACUGCACUCCAGCCUGGGUGACGGAGUAAGAACCUGUCUCAG
ensembl:misc_RNA Metazoa_SRP Metazoan signal recognition particle RNA